CGGUGGUUGAUAGUUUGGGUAGGGCGGAGGAGGAGCCACCUAGACGGAGGGGACGAAGGCCAUGGAAUGAGAUGGAGUUAGGGUUUUUGUGGGAGAUUGCAGUGGAGAAUGUGGUUGGUGAGAGCAAAGCUGAUGCGCUUGUGGCCAUUUUGCUUCUUCUUCUUCUUCUCUAAGAAAAAUUUCAGUAAUAGAAAAAUGAGUGGUUUUGGAUUUAUGAUCUGAAGGUUUGGUUUUGGAUUCUGGCAAGCAGGAGAAGAAGCAGAAGAAGAUUUUGUUUGUGAGGAUACGAUUACGGAUGGAUGAUGUGGCAUUCUCUCGUUGGUUCUUUCUGGAUUAUGAGAUUUUCAAAGAAAUAUUUGCGUUCAAACCCUUGUAAUUUAGUAGGAUACACUUUGAAGAACCUACUAUCUUUUUUUUAAAAGAUUUAG
rnacentral:lncRNA from 1 species